UGGGGAAUAUUGGACAAUGGGGGCAACCCUGAUCCAGCCAUGCCGCGUGAGUGAUGAAGGCCUUCGGGUUGUAAAGCUCUUUUGGCGGGGACGAUGAUGACGGUACCCGCAGAAUAAGCCCCGGCUAACUUCGUGCCAGCAGCCGCGGUAAGACGAAGGGGGCUAGCGUUGUUCGGAAUUACUGGGCGUAAAGCGAGUGUAGGCGGUUGCCGUAGUCAGGUGUGAAAGCCUUGAGCUCAACUCAAGAAAUGCACUUGAUACUGGGUGACUAGAGGACCGGAGAGGAUAGUGGAAUUCCCAGUGUAGUGGUGAAAUACGUAGAGAUUGGGAAGAACACCAGUGGCGAAGGCGGCUAUCUGGACGGUUACUGACGCUAAGACUCGAAAGCGUGGGGAGCAAACAGGAUUAGAUACCCCUGGUAGUCCACGCCGUAAACGAUGGGUGCUAGACGUUGGCGAGCUUGCUCGUCAGUGUCGCAGCUAACGCGUUAA
rnacentral:rRNA from 1 species